GAUGAACGCUGGCGGCGUGCCUAAUACAUGCAAGUCGAGCGAACAGACGAGGAGCUUGCUCCUCUGACGUUAGCGGCGGACGGGUGAGUAACACGUGGAUAACCUACCUAUAAGACUGGGAUAACUUCGGGAAACCGGAGCUAAUACCGGAUAAUAUAUUGAACCGCAUGGUUCAAUAGUGAAAGACGGUUUUGCUGUCACUUAUAGAUGGAUCCGCGCCGCAUUAGCUAGUUGGUAAGGUAACGGCUUACCAAGGCAACGAUGCGUAGCCGACCUGAGAGGGGGGGCGGGCGCAGGGGACAGCGGACACGAGGAGGAGAGCGACGGGAGGCAGAAGUCGGGAAGGUGGCGAAAGGGGCAAAAGCCGUAAGGAGCGAGGAGGAGAGAGUAAUAAAGUGUUAAGGAUCGUAGAAGUCUGUUACGAGGACAAAACAAAGGGGUAAGGAAAGAGGCAGGGCGGGAAGGUAGAUAAGAAGGAACGGAGGGGCGAAUGCGAG
rnacentral:rRNA from 1 species